GUGGGGAAUAUUGCACAAUGGGCGCAAGCCUGAUGCAGCAACGCCGCGUGAGGGAUGACGGCCUUCGGGUUGUAAACCUCUUUUAGUAGGGAAGAAGCGUAAGUGACGGUACCUGCAGAAAAAGCACCGGCUAACUACGUGCCAGCAGCCGCGGUAAUACGUAGGGUGCAAGCGUUGUCCGGAAUUAUUGGGCGUAAAGAGCUCGUAGGCGGCUUGUCGCGUCUGCUGUGAAAACCCGAGGCUCAACCUCGGGCUUGCAGUGGGUACGGGCAGGCUAGAGUGCGGUAGGGGAGAUUGGAAUUCCUGGUGUAGCGGUGGAAUGCGCAGAUAUCAGGAGGAACACCGAUGGCGAAGGCAGAUCUCUGAGCCGUAACUGACGCUGAGGAGCGAAAGCAUGGGGAGCGAACAGGAUUAGAAACCCUGGUAGUCC
rnacentral:rRNA from 1 species